CUCUCGGGCCUCUGGGACCGUCACGACGCAUGCGUCGUCCGCGCGCUUCUGGUCUUCCACCGCUAGGUGGCGGGAAAGUCCGUUUUUGAGUCACGUGCCACAACCAGGCGGACGCUUCCGGUGCACGUCAAGUUCUGCUGAGGGGUCUGGUGCCUCGUUGCUUAACAUGGGGGCGAGGGAACCUUCUGUGUCGGCUCCGCUCGCCCCUGUGCCGGGCCAAGGAGCGCGCAGCAGAGCAGCUCAAUGUGCUGCGGAACCGUCUCCCUCUUCUCCCUGCCAGGCCGUGCGCAGCAAUCCCGGGCCCACCCCGCCUCCCUCCGCCUAAUGCUGAGACCCACCGUCUCCUCGUCGCCAUCCCCGGCAGCCCAGCCUGCUACUGGAGGGCAGCAUCCAUUCAGUGGCAGGAAAUCCUCAUUUGAUUAGAAUCCAACUUCUUGAACUACAGCUGCAAACUAAGGAAACACAGUAAAGAGCUAACAAGAAAACAUUGAACAAAAUACUGAAGCUAUUCUAUGAUUAAACAGUGCAGCUCUAAUGGCUUGGAAUUACCAAGGAGACUGAAGUAGCAAAUCACAAUAGUACCCUGCAAGUAGGGUAGCAUGUCAUGUUUGGUGGAGGCUUGCUAGCAACUCCACUCGGCAACAGCUGUUUUCAAGAGCAUGUGACAAGAAGAAACCUGCUUUAGUAAACAUGAUCUGAGCAACUUGUUACUCAGGUGGAUCCAAUACCAAUGCCUUUUCCUUGCUAUGUUGUUGCAUAAAUUUCUGAUGUUCUUUCUUGGUGGGUACACACAUUAAACCUGCCAUGCUGGUAGGUUAAUAGAUAAAUGACACAAAGCAUUUGGUUCUGUUGGAUAUUUUCAGAUGCAAACGUUUUUGAACGGCUCUGAAUUUUUCACAGUACAUCUUCCUAUUCUUAUUUUCUUAAUGGGGCGAGAGAGGAAGUGAAAGCAGAACACAAUGGAGGCCGGUUUCAUUCCUUGUGCAAGUCCAUUGACAGCAGAAGGAUUGUGUAAUAUGCAUGUUAUCUUGUGUAACGUUGCAGCAGGAAAGAAGCAAUGGAAAGUUGUAUAUUAUAUAAAUAUCACUCAUACAAGUUUGCUGGAGUACACACUUGCAUGGCAGGUGUAAAGGAGCACACAAGGUGCAAGUCCAUAAGGACAAUCAGGCCCUUGCAGUUGUAGAGUACUUGUUGUAAUUUAAAAUACAUCCGAGUUCUAGCACUGUUUACAUUCAUAGCAAUAUCAAUUGCCUUUCAGUGGAUAUAAGCAAUGUGGAGAUUGAUUUAUUUAUUCAGUAUACAUGGCAUCACACCUUUAUAUACUAUAUGGCAAUGUCCUUGUAUUG